rnacentral:rRNA from 1 species
ACGCACGCUGGCGGCGUACUUAACACAUGCAAGUCGCACGGAAAGGCCCUGCUUUUGUGGGGUGCUCGAGUGGCGAACGGGUGAGUAACACGUGAGUAACCUGCCCUUGACUUUGGGAUAACUUCAGGAAACUGGGGCUAAUACCGGAUAGGAGCUCCUGCUGCAUGGUGGGGGUUGGAAAGUUUCGGCGGUUGGGGAUGGACUCGCGGCUUAUCAGCUUGUUGGUGGGGUAGUGGCUUACCAAGGCUUUGACGGGUAGCCGGCCUGAGAGGGUGACCGGCCACAUUGGGACUGAGAUACGGCCCAGACUCCUACGGGAGGCAGCAGUGGGGAAUAUUGCACAAUGGGCGGAAGCCUGAUGCAGCAACGCCGCGUGCGGGAUGACGGCCUUCGGGUUGUAAACCGCUUUCGCCUGUGACGAAGCGUGAGUGACGGUAAUGGGUAAAGAAGCACCGGCUAACUACGUG